ensembl:lncRNA
GUGGAAGGAGGCUGCUGCUCUUGCUAAGCCUCCAAGCUCUGUGCAUUUUCUACCCAGUUUCCAACCAAAAUAGUUAUCUUAAUUGAACAAGAUUCUCUGUCUCCUGUUGAGAGAUCAGAAAGCAAAAUAUGCAAGGACAAAGACAGAACUAUGGGAGCUGCUACAUAUUUCUUCUAUCAUAUUGAGAAAACCAAGGUAGAAAGGCUCAAGCCACCCAGCAAAUGCCCUUACUGAGGACAGUCUGGAGAAGAGGAUGCUCGAGGAAAACCUUGUUCUCUACAACUACCUGAAAGGAGGUUGUAAUGAGAUGGAGAUCAGCCUCUUCUCCUGGAAGUGAAUAUUCAUGAAGAAGGACUCAGCCAAGCAACGGAGCAAGCUGAGACUCUGGAAACAUCUAAUCAAACACACCACAGCAGUCACUGUCACCAUCUGCCAUACCAGAGUCAAGGUGCACCACUACAUCCUCUCCUGGGCUGGAGGCUGUUCCAAGUUUUAAUCAACAUUUGGAAGCAAACAACCACCAGACAGAAUAAAUGAGAAGAUCUCC